rnacentral:lncRNA from 1 species
AAUUAUUACAUUAUUAUUAUGUAUUAAAGAAAGUAUAUGAUUCCUUAAUUAAUGAAACCUGCAAGUAGUAAGAACUCAUUCAGGGGUUUGAUGCUAUUAUAAAUCUGUAAGUAAUAAACAAGGUUGCCUAGAGUUUUAAUUUCUCUCCUCUCACCUACUGAAGAAAGUUCUUAAAUGAGCAGAAACUGUGAAAAGGCAGAUAAAUCAAUAGAAGCAGAGUAUCUUGAUAAUCAGCAGUAGCCAAAAUGAGCAUAUGGGUCAAUCCAGGAUUUUUUAAAAGAAGUUCCCUUUAAUCAAGCCAAAAUUAUACUUUUGAUUUUUUAUGAAUCUUCUCUUUAAAAUAUUUUAAUUCAUUUCUAAAUUGAGAAUUUAUAGCACAG